UCUCUCUCUCUCUCUCUCAAACUCUUUUCUCAGAGGUCCACGACAUUCACUGUAUUGUUCUCUAUAUUACUAAAGAAACUAACCCUAUGAUCAUCAUAUUUACUACACUUAAAAAUACACACUCUACUGUUUCUAAAACAUCACGCUCACCACACAUAUACCAUUUCCAUGCUUUCCUAAUAUUGCGAGUGUUGAAUUUAUUCUUGUGCUGAGCUGCUUGUAAUAUGUUUUUUUUUUUUUUUCUCCAAAAACACUUCAGCAUUCUCAAAAUCUUUGAUUUUCUCCAUUAGUUUGCAGAUGUAAGAUAGAUCGCUCUAUAGAUAUUAGAUUCUGUUGCAUCUGUCCCUGGAGUCACUAUUGCACUUUUUUCAGUCUUUGGGUAACAUACUUUCUUUCCAUAUAUGGUUAUAUAAUAAUGCUGACAUUACUGUCAGAUAUAGCCUAUAUACAUCCCUGUUAUCUUUCCAUCAUUCACACAAACCAGGGAAUGUUCUUCUGUAAAUUCUUCUAUUAUUUCCCCACUAUUAUCUGUGUUUGUACUGCCCUAUAAACCUUUGUGCUAUUUUUACGCUUCUGCAGAGGUGUAAAGAGUACCUGAAAACCAUACUUGAGUAAAAGUACUGAUACCUUACAUCAAAAAUGACUCACUACAAGUUACAAGUAACCAAUUCCAAUACGACUUGAGUAAAAGUCUUAAAGUAUUUGAUUUUAACAGUACUUAAGUAUUUUACUCAUGCUGAAUGCAGGCUUAGAGAUGCACUAGUCCUGAGAGACAUGCCAGUGAAAAUAAGAAACAAUUCAUUUGUAAGAUGAGAAAUCAAGUUUAUUUUCUAAAAUUAAAAUAAAAUUGAACACCUCAAUGUUGCAUUAAAUCAAGGUCAACACAACAACCUUUUAAACGUCUACAGACUACAAGUCUCAGUUGAGCUCAAAUGCACAGAAAGGCCAUAAGUAAACCAAUAUCCUUCAAAACGGUCUUGUCAAUAUAGCAGAUAAAUAAAACAAUGUUAAGUAAAAUUAAAUAGUCAAAGUCUACUGUAUGUGCUGGUUUGAGCCUCAUCACCAGCUGCAGUCAUUUCCUCAUCUAAUAAAACAUCUGCGAUCAGCAACUACCUGCUAAUGCACUCACAUUCACGUGAAGUGUCCUUGUUGACAAGUUCGGGUGAGUAAAUGCACAAGAUAUAGUAUAUGGCGAUAUCACUUCUUUAUAGCAGAAAUAAACUGCUGCAGAAAAAGUUAGCUGCCAUGAAAAAUGUAAUUUGUAAUUGCAUUACUCAUCACAAAUGUAGUGGAGUAAAAAGUACAUUUACUUGUCAGUAAAUGUACAUUUACUUAGUCAAGUAGAGAGUAAAAGUUGCCAAUAUCUUUGAUACUCAGUACAACUACAAAGCAGCCAAAAAGAUACUGAAGUACAGUAACUAAUUACAUUUACUCAAGUACUUUACACCUCUGCACUUCUGUAAUAGUAGGAAAGACAUUAUAAAAAUCAUGUCCAAAGCAGCAGUUCCUUCUUUCUCUUGAUGUCCAUUGCUGGAAUUCCUGUUAACUUUAGUAAUUUAUCAGCACCUGUAUUUAUCAGCACCUCAUGACCUGUUUCUGUACAUACUCGUGUUUUCAUUUUAGGAGUCUUCUCGUCCUUUCAUCUGAUCAUCUUCAUUACUGAGACAGGACACAGCGGUCACUGUUCCUCUUUUAAUAGUUUGACAGAAUCCAUUUGUUGUUGUUUAGCAAAAGUAAUUUUCUCUUUGAUUUCUCUUUCUUUCAUCACCAGCUUCAUCGCUUAUAUUUCUCGACUUAUUGUUUGCUCACAAUCAGAUUCAUCAACUGUUAUUAAAUCUUCCUGAUAAUCCAGGUUUUGAUGGUCUCAUCCGAAGUGUCUCCAUACGGCUCUCUCUCUCUUCCGACAUCCGUCAGCGCUUGUUCCCAGCAGAAGGCUCAAACUGACCGAACCAUUUUCAUUAAAAUACAUACAUACACACAUAAGCGCAGAAAGAUUCUGCUCCAGGUUAUGCGUUCUACAUGUGUUUAUAAGCAAUUAGUAAGUCCUGAAGUGGCUAAUGCCGGUUUGUUGCUCUAGAGGGCGCCGCGGCUCACAGCGAUCAGACUCCAGAAACAGAAGCUUCCAGAACUCACAGAAGCACAUGAUGGUAAUAAUGAGAUCAAAGCUGCAGAUACGGUUACAUUCCAGGUACAGGAAUCGUCUCUGAAGUCUGAUCUCAACACAUUGACUUUCCCUGGCUUUUAACAAAAUUCCUUGAUGAUGUUGAUCUGUUUUUACCUGUUCUCAGUGUGGAAAGUUUUUUGAAAACAUGUUUAUUGUAUAUUCUGCAUUUGUUGAUAUAUUUGUUGAUAUACUUUGAUCAUAUUUGGUAGUUUUUAAAUGUGCUUUAUUUUGAAUGAUUGACCUUAAAGGGAAAGUUCAGCCAAAAACGAUCAUUCAGUCAUCAUUUACUCCCCGUCAUGUCGUUGCAAACCUGUAUCUGCUACUUUCUUCUUUGGGAAUUUCAUUUGAAAAAAUUGUUGCAGUGUUUUUCUGUUCUUGCAGUGAGUCAGUGGGGUCCAAUAUUGUUUACACAUGGCUUUUAAUGUGGUCAAUGAAAUGUGGUGUGAUCCGAUGAAAGUCAAGUCAAGUCACCUUUAUUUAUAUAGCACUUUUUACAGUGCAGAUUGUGUCAAAGCAGCUUUACAGUGAAAACUGGUAUAUAAUUUUGGCUGCACAGCAUUUCUAGAAGAAAAUGGUGUCAUUGUCCAUCUUAAGUAAAUUCAGUAUUGAUUCAUUCCGAUGUAAGAAUCAAUAGUUAUUAAUUUAGUUAAUUUAUGUAUAUCAGCACUGGAGUAAACAGUGAUGUCAUCAUCCAGCUCAGUUCAGUUCUCAUACAAUGGUGUCAAUGCAGGCAGAUCAAAACACUGCUGAAUAUCAAGUGUCCCCAACUAAGCAAGCCAAAGGCGACGGCGGCAAAGAACCCAAACUCCAACAGGUGACAUCAGGUGACAAAAAGGUGUUAAAAUGGAGAAAAAAACCUUGGAAGAAACCAGGCUCAGUCGGGGGGCCAGUUCUCCUCUGGCCAACAGCGAACAGUGCUUAAUUAUGAUUCAGGCAGCUAUCAUAACUCCAAAUGGGAUCGUAACAGUCAAAGUAUUUAUACCAGUUCCAUCCAGUUGAGGAUCGUGCGUUCUGGUCGUGUCAAGGCGCAGGUCCUCGAUAUCACCUGGAUACGGCCCGGAUCCGGCUGACUACGGUAAACCUCGGGAUAAACAGAGAGACUAAUAUUAGCGUAGAUGCCAUUCUUCUUCUGAUGUAACGAGUACAUCUGGUGUUAUAGGAAGUCAAGUCAUUUAUAUAGCGCUUUUUACAAUGCAGAUUGUGUCAAAGCAGCUUUACAGUGAUAACUGGUAUAUAAUUUUGGCUGCACAGCAGCUCUUAAAGAAAAUGCUGUCAAUGUAGGCAGAUGCGAAGCACUGUUGAAUAUCAAAUGUCAAGUGUCCCCAACUAAGCAAGCCAAAGGCGACAGCGGCAAGGAACCCAAACUCCAACAGGUGACAUCAGGUGGCAAAUAGGUGUUAAAAUGGAGAAAAAAAACUUGGGAGAAACCAGGCUUAGUCGGGGGUCAGUUCUCCUCUGGCAAACAGUGCUUUGUUACGAUUCAGGUAGCUAUCAUAAGCCCGAUAGGAUCGCAACAUUCAAAGUAUUUAUUCCAGUUCAAUCCAGUUCAAUCCAUCGUAUUGUAACGGUCUAAACGUUACCAGGUUUUUUAUUGUAUUUUUUUUACUGUUUAUUGAAUUAAGAGGUAUCUGGGUCAAGGGUAAUUCCACUAGGAGCCGCUUGAGGGCGCUAGUGCACAAUAGCUACCAGAUAUAAGCCCUAGUCACGUAAAAGCAAGUUAGGUCAUUUGGUGGAGGGAAACUGCAUGAAUGGUUGAACUGACGCUACCUAUAUCUACUCAUGUUAAUGUCCUGUUUUGAGAACUCUUUGAGAGUUUACGCUCAAUAAAGGACUUUUUUGUUUCUUCCACCUCAUGUUUCGAUUCAUUGCUGUCACGAUUAUACUCAUGCACGUCUCCAGGGUAGCACGAGUAGCAAGUGAAGGGGGAAAGACCACGCGGUAGCGAGGCUACAGCGCGUGGCCUAAAGCUAAACAACUCAGCAUUCAGCUCAGCGAGUCGCCAAACGCCGUUGACUGUCUUCACCUCUCACACACUGGAUUAUAUCAUUGCAUCGCUCUCAAAAUACAUCGUGGAUUUUCACUCAUCUCAUCACUCAUCAUUCCAGCUCAUCUAAAGUUGAUCAUUGACGAUAAGUUUCAUUUAUUGUCUGCACAGAGACAAAGACUCAGUUUUUUUGCUUAUGGGUUAUUUUUGUGGCAAUUAUAUGCACUGGUGUGAAUAAAAAAGGAAAGAGUAUA